rnacentral:rRNA from 1 species
AUACGUAGGUGACAAGCGUUAUCCGGAUUUACUGGGCGUAAAGGGCGUGUAGGCGGUCUUGCAAGUCAGAAGUGAAAUUCCUGAGCUCAACUCGGGCGCUGCUUCUGAAACUGCAGGACUUGAGUGCUGGAGGGGAUAGCGGAAUUCCUAGUGGAGCGGUAAAAUGCGCAGAUAUUAGGAAGAACACCGGUGGCGAAGGCGGCUAUCUGGACAGUAACUGACGCGGAGGCUCGAAAGCUGGGGGAGCAAACAGGAUUAGAUACCCUGUUAGUCCACGCCGUAAACGAUGAAUACUAGGUGUAGGGGGUAUCGACUCCCUCUGUGCCGCAGUUAACACAAUAAGGAUUCCGCCUGGGGAGUACGGCCGCAAGGUUGAAACUUAAAGGAAUUGACGGGG